GUGAGGAAUAUUGCGCAAUGGAGGCAACUCUGACGCAGCCAUGCCGCGUGCAGGAAGAAGGGGCUACGCGUUGUAAACUGCUUUUAACCGGGAAGAAACCCCAGGACGUGUCCUGGGUUGACGGUACCGGAGGAAUAAGCACCGGCUAACUUCGUGCCAGCAGCCGCGGUAAUACGAAGGGUGCAAGCGUUAUCCGGAUUCAUUGGGUUUAAAGGGUGCGUAGGCGGAGCGUUAAGUCAGUGGUGAAAUCCUGCAGCUUAACUGUAGACUUGCCAUUGAUACUGGCGCUCUUGAGUGCGCUUGAAGUGGGCGGAAUGUGCCGUGUAGCGGUGAAAUGCUUAGAUAUGGCACAGAACACCAAUUGCGAAGGCAGCUCACUAAGGCGAUACUGACGCUGAGGCACGAAAGCGUGGGGAUCGAACAGGAUUAGAUACCCGGGUAGUCC
rnacentral:rRNA from 1 species